rnacentral:rRNA from 1 species
GACGAACGCUGGCGGCGUGCUUAACACAUCCCAGUCGAACGGAAAGGCCCCUUUGGGGGUACUCGAGUGGCGAACGGGUGAGUAACACGUGAGUAACCUGCCCUUGACUUCGGGAUAACUUCAGGAAACUGGGGCUAAUACCGGAUAGGAAUCCUUGCUGCAUGGUGGGGGUUGGAAAGCUUCGGCGGUUUUGGAUGGACUCGCGGCUUAUCAGCUUGUUGGUGGGGUAGUGGCUUACCAAGGCUUUGACGGGUAGCCGGCCUGAGAGGGCGACCGGCCACAUUGGGACUGAGAUACGGCCCAGACUCCUACGGGAGGCAGCAGUGGGGAAUAUUGCACAAUGGGCGGAAGUCUGAUGCAGCAACGCCGCGUGCGGGAUGACGGCCUUCGGGUUGUAAACCGCUUUCAGCAGGGGCGAAGCUUGUGGUGACGGUACCUGCAGAAGAAGCACCGGCUAACUACGUG